rfam:Schistosoma rodhaini strain Burundi genome assembly, scaffold: SROB_scaffold0001219
GCACUGUUGAGGGGUCUCAUAAUAGGACGAAACGACCGUCCAGUAC